rnacentral:pre_miRNA from 1 species
AGUGGAAUUGCUGGGCCAUAUGGUAGUUCUAUUUUUAGUUAUUUGAGGAACUGCCACACUAUUUUCCAUGAUGGUUGUACCAUUUUGCAUUCCCACCAGCAAU